GUUUUCUACCUGUUAAGAGUAUGUCAUAUAAAGUAAGAUUCUUCAGUGGUUAAAAGGAACUGAGUAGUAAGUAAAAUGGUAAGUCACUUGGUAGUGUAGUGAGUCUCCACCAAAUGCCAAGGAAGUUACUCAUAGUUUCUAGACAUAGCAAGAGCAUUCUUAGUCACUUUUAUAUCUGAGGUUAACUGAGUUGCAGAGGCAGGAAAUAACAUCAUGAAAAGAUGGUGAGACUUUCUUCAAACCUUACAACUAACCGCUGUUCAACUACACAUCUCAUCACCACAACAACUGUUAAAAACGUCAGCAUGUGGGUAGAGCUCUAGAAGCUGGAAUGAAAGAAUUUAUACAUGUUGUACUUCUGUGUGCCCAUGUGCUCACCUUGAGGCCAGCAUCACCAGUUCUGCCAAACCUUUGCCUACUGACCUGCAGCUCUCUCUACAUGAUUGCAAAUGUUGUUUCAAACGGUAAAGUCUUAAGAGCCAGUGACUGAUGUGUUUGGUCCCUGCUGAAUGCUUCCCGCUAAGUGCAACACAGACAUUAAAAGGCCUGGGCUAUGUUGAUGAGCAGGGAGGGAAGAUUUGUCAAAGGGACAUUGAUCUCUGUCUUGAUUCUCCACUUCCAGCAGUGCUUCUCUCCCAGGAUCCUGGCGACUUUCCCAGGAUGCUCAGCGAAGGUCUUUUCUCCAAACUUUUCCUUUCAUAAGUAACUGUAUGAACUGGACUGAACAGAAGUUUGAAGGCUGACAUGUUUUCAACAGCCCUCCUUUAAAGACUAGCUUAAAUGUCAUUUGUGUUUUCUGUGAAGACUCUACUGACUUCCUGAAUCAGUCACUUCCUCCUGUGGGAGACCACACUUCGUUGACACUCUAGCAUAGUACAAUGAUGCAGCUGUUUAUAAUUGCACACAUACACAAACUGCCUAUUUGUAUAUGUAUACUGCUAACGCCAUUGGAAGGUCUGCCUAACAGGAUAUAAGUAUAAAUUAUAACAAAUGUUUCUGUUAGUUUUAUUUAAAUAGGAGGAUUCCUGGAUAUUUAACAGCUCAUGCAGUAGUAGUUUAGGAAUUAGAGAGUCAAACAUUGGGAAUACCAAUUAAGAAUAUUUUAGAUAACAAGCAGCUUUCAAGUCUGAUAACACUGGGUGUGGUGACUCUAGAGCAGUUCAUCCCAGCCAUUGGAAUGUUGAAGCAGGAGGGAUGCUCUGAGUGGAGGCCAGCCUGAGCUACAUAGUGAGCUCCAGGCCUGCCUGAGAUACAGAGUCAGACUGAGAACUCUGCUUCUGGCAUUUCACUCUGCUAUCUCUCCUGAGAACUGGACGAUCAGUUUUGGGUAUGUUCACAAUGCACAGAACAUUACCAACCUUCCAUUUUUGUUUCUUCUAAUUAGUCUCCGACUGUGCUACCUUACACCCCUGACUCUCAUUUCUGCCCUGAUACCGUAAAUACCGUGACAUUCUAGUCAUUUUAAUUGUGAAACACAGGCAUGUCUAUUUUUAAAGAGAUGAGGGAAGUAGAGCACAGCACCCAUUGCUCUUUUUCAGUCUUCUUAUUGUAAAAUUGGGGGCAGGGAAGAGAGGCACUCAUCAGAGUUUGUCAUAUGAAAACAUCCAUGCUGGUCUGAGGUAUGAAUGACACUUUCAUCUUUCAGUACUUCAUUCAUUUCUGAUGGUUCGUUCCUAUGCGGUUGGUCUCUAUAAAAACAGAGAGCUCAGUUUCUUGGAGAGAUGUUCACUUCUCAAAGUGGUCUCACUCCAGCCCUGCCUUCCCCACAGUCCUACUGCAGUGCUUUUCCAGGUGGGGGAAUCCCUCUCUUGGCCCUGUGGCUUCAUGAACUGCUCUAGAGAUUUUGCACCCUGCCCUAAACAUUGCAUGCAUUCCCAGGGAGCCUUAGAAAUGAUUACUUCUCUUCAAAGUGUUCUCCUUUUUCCCAAUAAGCUUCAUUGCAUAUUUAAAGGUAGAUAACACAAAGUGUUGAUGACUUGAAGCCCUAAAAGGGAGCUAUGCUAGUGAGUUCCUGCAUUCAGAAUAUCUAAACCAGGUAUCUGAAACCAUGCCGACAAUCUUGCCUUCUCCUGCAUCUGUUGUGAAGCCCUCCUAAGAAUCUCUUACUGUGUUCCAUCCGGAGCUCUGCAGUGAGCCUGGAGAUCUUAAAGAUGAACAGUGAGUAAGAAGACAGAGGCACCUUUUGUUGGCAUCCCUACCUGCUAAGAUUCUCUUGAGUACACUCCUUGACUUGGCUUUCAGCCAUAUGUGCGUGUCUGUAGACACUGGUUCUCCUUCUAUCAGUCCAUGAUGCUCAAGAACUGAAUGACAAGGGGCCCUUCUAGUCAUGGCAUACAUAGACUCAUGCAGCUCAGAAGGGCCUCAAACCUGCUGGGUACCAGAGGUUGACCAUAAGCUGCCAGUCCUCCCGCUGUCUCAUCCCAAGCGCUGGAAUGAUAGGUGUGAGCUCCACAUCCACCCUAGAACUUUGUGAUUGUGCAGAGAUGGAGAUGGGUCCUUUGAAAUACAAUCACCUCCUGAGGGGAAAGCCUUCAUUGUUGAGAUGGCUGGCAAGACUUCCGUCAUGUGAGCACAUCCCUACCAAGAGCCAACUAUGAAUCAGGAAGAAGCCCACUCCACACACUGGAUUUCCUGGCAUGUUGACCUUAGACUGUCUAGCCUCCAGGAGUAAGAGGCUACACUAACAGAAAUCUACUCAAAGUAUAUUAUGACACGUGUAAUGGGAGCACGCCCCAACGUGGGGCUACUACAGAUAGAUGGCAACUACAGAUGUCACUGCAGCGUGGACCUGAGCAUGGGGGACAGAAGUGAUGGACGCCACAAAUGGACACCAUGUGUGUAAAGUGUGAAGUGAGCGCUCAGAUAAAAGUGAAG
rnacentral:lncRNA from 1 species